GGCAGCAUGGCCGAGUGGUCUAAGGCGCUGGAAUUAGGUUUUGGCAUCUUUCUUCGCAAGAAUGAUAUUCCAACUUCAUCUAUAUCCAGUCCGAAAGGGCGUGGGUUCGAACCCCACUGCUGUCA